rnacentral:rRNA from 1 species
UGGCUGUCGUCAGCUCGUGUCGUGAGAUGUUGGGUUAAGUCCCGCAACGAGCGCAACCCUUGUCUCAUGUUGCCAGCGGGUAAUGCCGGGGACUCGUGAGAGACUGCCGGGGUCAACUCGGAGGAAGGUGGGGAUGACGUCAAGUCAUCAUGCCCCUUAUGUCCAGGGCUUCACACAUGCUACAAUGGCCGGUACAAAGGGCUGCGAAGCCGUGAGGUGGAGCGAAUCCCUGCAAAGCCGGUCUCAGUUCGGAUCGGGGUCUGCAACUCGACCCCGUGAAGUCGGAGUCGCUAGUAAUCGCAAAUCAGCAACGCUGCGGUGAAUACGUUCCCGGGCCUUGUACACACCG